AACGAACGCUGGCGGCAGGCCUAACACAUGCAAGUCGAACGGGACCUUCGGGUCUAGUGGCGGACGGGUGAGUAACGCGUGGGAACGUGUCCUUUGGUUCGGAAUAGCCCCGGGAAACUGGGUGUAAUACCGGAUAAGCCCUACGGGGGAAAGAUUUAUCGCCAAAGGGUCGGCCCGCGUUGGAUUAGGUAGUGGGUGAGGUAAUGGCUUACCAAGCCGACGAUGCAUAGCUGGUUUGGGAGGAUGAACAGCCACACUGGGACUGAGACACGGCCCAGACUCCUACGGGAGGCAGCAGUGGGGAAUCUUAGACAAUGGGGGAAACCCGGAUCUAGCCAUGCCGCGUGAUCGAUGAAGGCCUUAGGGUUGUAAAGAUCUUUCAGUGGGGAAGAUAAUGACUGUACCCACAGAAGAAGCCCCGGCUAACUCCGUGCCAGCAGCCGCCGUAA
rnacentral:rRNA from 1 species